CACGUAGGAGGCGAGCGUUGUCCGGAAUCAUUGGGCGUAAAGAGCGCGCAGGCGGCUUGGCAAGUCGGGUGUGAAAUCCCGGGGCUCAACCCCGUGACUGCAUCCGAUACUGUCAGGCUAGAGGUAGGUAGGGGAGAUCGGAAUUCCUGGUGUAGCGGUGAAAUGCGCAGAUAUCAGGAGGAACACCGGUGGCGAAGGCGGAUCUCUGGGACAACACUGACGCUGAAGCACGAAAGCGUGGGGAGCAAACAGG
rnacentral:rRNA from 1 species